rnacentral:rRNA from 1 species
GACAGAGGUGCCAAGCGUUAGGCGGAAUCACUGGGCUUAAAGCGUGUGUAGGCGGAAUUGUAAGUACCUUGUGAAAUCCCACGGCUCAACCGUGGAACUGCUCGGUAUACUGCUUUUCUUGAGCCACUUAGGGGCUACCGGAACAAAUGGUGGAGCGGUGAAAUGCGUAGAUAUCAUUUGGAACGCCAAUGGUGAAAACAGGUAGCUGGGAGUGUGCUGACGCUGAGGCGCGAAAGCCAGGGGAGCAAACGGG